CCCCGGAUAGCUCAGUCGGUAGAGCAUCAGACUUUUUUAAUCUGAAGGUCGGGGUUCAAGUCCCUAUUCGGACG